rnacentral:rRNA from 1 species
GCUCAGGACGAACGCUGGCGGCGUGCUUAACACAUGCAAGUCGAACGAUGAACCCGCUUCGGUGGGGGAUUAGUGGCGAACGGGUGAGUAACACGUGGGCAAUCUGCCCUGCACUCUGGGACAAGCCCUGGAAACGGGGUCUAAUACCGGAUAUUGACCCGCUUGGGCAUCCAAGUGGGUGGAAAGCUCCGGCGGUGCAGGAUGAGCCCGCGGCCUAUCAGCUUGUUGGUGAGGUAGUGGCUCACCAAGGCGACGACGGGUAGCCGGCCUGAGAGGGCGACCGGCCACACUGGGACUGAGACACGGCCCAGACUCCUACGGGAGGCAGCAGUGGGGAAUAUUGCACAAUGGGCGGAAGCCUGAUGCAGCGACGCCGCGUGAGGGAUGACGGCCUUCGGGUUGUAAACCUCUUUCAGCAGGGAAGAAGCGUGAGUGACGGUACCUGCAGAAGAAGCGCCGGCUAACUACGUGCCAGCAGCCGCGGUAAUACGUAGGGCGCAAGCGUUGUCCGGAAUUAUUGGGCGUAAAGAGCUCGUAGGCGGCUUGUCGCGUCGGUUGUGAAAGCCCGGGGCUUAACCCCGGGUCUGCAGUCGAUACGGGCAGGCUAGAGUUCGGUAGGGGAGAUCGGAAUUCCUGGUGUAGCGGUGAAAUGCGCAGAUAUCAGGAGGAACACCGGUGGCGAAGGCGGAUCUCUGGGCCGAUACUGACGCUGAGGAGCGAAAGCGUGGGGAGCGAACAGGAUUAGAUACCCUGGUAGUCCACGCCGUAAACGGUGGGCACUAGGUGUGGGCAACAUUCCACGUUGUCCGUGCCGCAGCUAACGCAUUAA